rnacentral:rRNA from 1 species
GAGAGUUAAAUAGUACGUGAAAUUGUUGAAAGGGAAACGAUUGAAGUCAGUCAUGCUAGUGAAAAAUCAGUUUGACGGGUUUUGAGUUCAGGAGUAGAGGCAGGGUCAAACCGUUUCUUUUUUGAACUUGGGAUUUGUUAGAUGUACUUUUUCUUUGGCAGGUCAGCGUCGAUUUCGGAGGUUGUAAAAUACUUGGGGGAAAGUAACUCUGCUUCGGGAGAGUAUUAUAGACCCUGGGGGAUGCAGCCUGCGGGAUCGAGGAUUGCAGCAAAUGCCUUUGGCUUGUCGCCUGAUCUCUGGAUGUUACCUCGCUUGUGACAACAUUCUUGCCACCUGUGGGUACUAAUGCCCAUUAGGUUAGAGCGAUCCAAAAUUUUGCUAAGGAUGCUGACGUAAUGGCUUUAAACGA